UCGAACGAGAAAGUGGAGCUUCGGCUCCUGAGUAAAGUGGCGAACGGGUGCGUAACACGUAAGUAAUCUACCUUAACUCUGGAAUAACUCUCCGAAAGUGGGGUGCUAAUGCUGGAUAGUGUGUCCUCGAGUGUGUAGUGUCGCGAGGUGGAAAGCAGGCCUCUAUUAUAAGCUUGCGGUCUAGAUGAGCUUGCGUCCCAUUAGUUUUGUUGGUGAGGUAACGGCUCACCAAAGACGACGAUGGUAGCUGUCUGAAAAGGAUGAAUCAGUCACCAACUGGCACUGAAAACAACCGGGGCCCAGACCUCCCUACGGGGAGGGCAGCCAGGUGGGGGAAUCCUACGGGAGGCAGCAAGUGGGGGGAAAUUUUGCGCAAUGGGCGAAAAGCCUGACGCAGUAACGCCGCGUGGAGGACGAAGGCCUUCGGGUUGUAAACUCCUGUCAGGGGGGAAGAAGAACUUGAGCCUAGAAUACAUUUUCGAGUUCUGACGGUACCCUCAAAGGAAGCCCCGGCUAAUUCCGUGCCAACAGCCGCGGUAAUACGGAAGGGGCUAGCGUUGUUCGGAAUCAUUGGGCGUAAAGGGCGCGUAGGUGGUCUUGUAUGUCCGUCGUGAAAGUGCACGGCUCAACCGUGUUUGGUCGGCGGAAACUGCAAGACUUGAGGCUGGGAGGGGCUGGAGGAAUUCCCUGUGUAGCGGUGAAAUGCGUAGAGAUAGGGGAGAACACUCGUGGCGAAGGCGUCCAGCUGGACCAGUCCUGACACUGAGGCGCGAAAGCGUGGGUAGCAAACAGGAUUAGAUACCCUGGUAGUCCACGCCGUAAACGAUGGGCACUAGGUGCCGGCGGUAUUGAUCCCGUCGGUGCCGGCGCUAACGCAGUAAGUGCCCCGCCUGGGGAGUACGGUCGCAAGGCUGAAACUCAAAGGAAUUGACGGGGGCCCGCACAAGCGGUGGAGCAUGUGGUUUAAUUCGACGCAACGCGAAGAACCUUACCUGGAUUUGACAUGUACAGGAUCGGCAAUGAAAGUGUGUCUUCUCCUCGGAGUCGUGUACACAGGUGCUGCAUGCUGUCGUCAGCUCGUNUCGUGAGAUGUUGGGUUAAGUCCCGCAAUGAGCUGCAACCCUCACCCUUUGUUGCCAUCGGGUUAUGCCGAGCACUCUAAGGGGACUGCCUCGGUGAACGAGGAGGAAGGUGGGGAUGACGUCAAGUCCUCAUGGCCUUUAUGUCCAGGGCUACACACGUGCUACAAUGGCCAAGACAAUGGGUUGCUAUUCUGCGAAGAGAUGCCAAUCUCAAAGACUUGGUCUCAGUUCGGAUGGCUGGCUGCAACUCGCCAGUCUGAAGCUGGAAUCGCUAGUAAUCGGAGAUCAGCACGCUCCGGGAAACGUCCCGGGCCGACACACCGCCCGUCACACCACGAAAGCGGGACCAGAAGUCGCGACCAACCUCGCAAGAGGGGGAAA
rnacentral:rRNA from 1 species